rnacentral:tRNA from 1 species
GAGGGUAUAGCUCAGUGGUAGAGCAUGUGCUUAGCAUGCGCAAGGUCCUGAGUUCAAUCCCCAGUACCUCCA